AGCUCUAAUAGCGUAUAUUAAAGUUGUUGCAGUUAAAAAGCUCGUAGUUGGAUUUUUGAGUAUGACUCGACUGUCCCGGGACUAGUUCUCGCGCGAUGGUCGGUCGGCUCUUCCUUCCAGUACUUGGGCGUGGGCUCUUAAUUGAGUGUUGCGUUCGGUCUGGAACUUUUACUUUGAGCAAAAUAGAGUGUUCAAAGCAGGCGAUUGCCUUGAAUACAUUAGCAUGGAAUAUCAAUAUAGGACUGUGGUUCUAUUUUGUUGGUUUCUAGGACCAGAGUAAUGAUUAAUAGGGAUAGUUGGGGGCAUCCAUAUUUCAGUGUCAGAGGUGAAAUUCUAAGAUUUCUGAAAGAUGAACUUAUGCGAAAGCGUUUGCCAAGGAUGUUUUCAUUA
rnacentral:rRNA from 1 species